rnacentral:rRNA from 1 species
GAGCUUGAUUGCAAGACACAGGUCGAGCAAGGAUGAAAAUCGGACUUAGUGAUCCGGUGGUUCUGCGUGGAAGGGCCAUCGCUCAACGGAUAAAAGCUACCCUGGGGAUAACAGGCUUAUCUCCCCCAAGAGUCCACAUCGACGGGGGGGUUUGGCACCUCGAUGUCGGCUCAUCACAUCCUGGGGCUGUAGUAGGUCCCAAGGGUUGGGCUGUUCGCCCAUUAAAGUGGUACGCGAGCUGGGUUCAGAACGUCGUGAGACAGUUCGGUCCCUAU